rnacentral:rRNA from 1 species
UGGGGAAUAUUGGACAAUGGACCAAAAGUCUGAUCCAGCAAUUCUGUGUGCACGAUGACGUUUUUCGGAAUGUAAAGUGCUUUCAGUUGGGAAGAAAAAAAUGACGGUACCAACAGAAGAAGUGACGGCUAAAUACGUGCCAGCAGCCGCGGUAAUACGUAUGUCACAAGCGUUAUCCGGAUUUAUUGGGCGUAAAGCGCGUCUAGGUGGUUAUGUAAGUCUGAUGUGAAAAUGCAGGGCUCAACUCUGUAUUGCGUUGGAAACUGCAUGACUAGAGUACUGGAGAGGUAAGCGGAACUACAAGUGUAGAGGUGAAAUUCGUAGAUAUUUGUAGGAAUGCCGAUGGGGAAGCCAGCUUACUGGACAGAUACUGACGCUAAAGCGCGAAAGCGUGGGUAGCAAACAGGAUUAGAUACCCUGGUAGCCCACGCCGUAAACGAUGAUUACUAGGUGUUGGGGGUCGAACCUCAGCGCCCAAGCUAACGCGAUAAGUAAUCCGCCUGGGGAGUACGUACGCAAGUAUG